rnacentral:misc_RNA from 1 species
AAGUCGUAACAAGGUUUCCGUAGGUGAACCUGCGGAAGGAUCAUUAAAGAGUAAGGGUCUAACCGGCCCGACCUCCAACCCUUUGUCGUUUAAAAACACCUUGUUGCUUUGGCGGGACCGCCUACCUUCGGGUCGGCUGCCGGUCUUCGGCCCGGCAAGCGCCCGCCAGAGUCAAACCAAACUCUUGUUUUAACCAGUCGUCUGAGUAAAAUUUUAAUAAUUAAAA